AUUGUUCAUAUUUAAUUUCAUUAUUAAUUUGUUUUUAAUAAUGUAAGACUAAGUGGAGCUAAGCGCUAAAUGUACCUAUUGGUUUUACAAUGAAAUGUGUUUAUUUAGUUUAUUUACUAUUGUAAUGGUGUGGAACACCAUUCUAGUUUUCAUAUUUUUAUACUUAUAAUAUUACGUAUAGUAUAAUAUACUAUACAUAUUAUAUCAUAGACGCGCUUAUCAUCUUGCAUUCAUUCUAUAAUAUCAUGGAGUAAAGCUAUAUGUAUAACUAUUUUGUAUAGUAAACAAAAUGUAUAAUAAUCUUUCGGCCUGCUAGACAUACGUCAGCCGAACUAGUGUGGUUUCACCACUUGCUCCGUGUAUUGUUGCCGUCAGGUCAUCGCCAUGCAGAAGAAAACAACAUACCUACAAUCAAAUCCAAUUUUGAUUCAAAUAAAGAAUAUAAAUUCAUUAAUCAAAGG